rnacentral:rRNA from 1 species
CCUACGGGAGGCUGCAGUGAGGAAUAUUGGUCAAUGGACGGAAGUCUGAACCAGCCAAGUAGCGUGCAGGCUGACGGCCCUAUGGGUUGUAAACUGCUUUUGUAUGGGGAUAAAGUUAGGGACGUGUCCCUAUUUGCAGGUACCAUACGAAUAAGGACCGGCUAAGUCCGUGCCAGCAGCCGCGGUAAUACGGAAGGUCCAGGCGUUAUCCGGAUUUAUUGGGUUUAAAGGGAGCGUAGGCUGGAUAUUAAGUGUGGUGUGAAAUGUAGACGCUCAACGUCUGACUUGCAGUGCAUACUGGUGGCCUUGAGUACGCACAACGUUGGCGGAAUUCGUCGUGUAGCGGUGAAAUGCUUAGAUAUGACGAAGAACUCCGAUUGCGAAGGCAGCUGACGGGAGCGCAACUGACGCUGAAGCUCGAAGGGGCGGGUAUCAAACAGGAUUAGAGACCCCUGUAGUC